GCCUAGUUAGCUUAGUUGGUAGUGCGUCUGCCUUGUAAGCGGUAGGCCGCGGGUUCGAUUCCCGCCCGGGGCG
rfam:Asian citrus Psyllid, Diaphorina citri - Florida Strain, whole genome shotgun sequence.